AUGCCGCUGUCCUCGCACGCCGUCCCCACCCGCGCGGUGCCGUUCGACCAUGCCAUCAUCCAGCAACACGGCAAAGUCGCUCUGACAUGGUUCGGCCCGGAGCCGAGGGUGAUGGUGAGCGACCCUCAUCUGUUCCGGGAGAUCCUGUCGAACAAGCAUGGCCAGUUCGGGAAGCAGAGGUCCAUCCUCCGGAUCGAGCGGCUGCUGGCCAACGGGCUGACAACACACCAGGGCGACAAGUGGGUCGCCCACCGGAGGAUCAUUAACCACGCCUUCCAUCUCGACAAGCUCAAGAGGAUGUUACCGGCUUUUGCGGCCUGUUCGAGCGAAUUGGUGCGGAGAUGGGGAAGCUCCAUGGGGCAAAGUGAUGUGCAUGAGAUAGAUGUGUGGCCAGAGUUUCAGAACCUCACGGGCGACGUGAUAUCCCGAGUGGCGUUCGGGAGCAGCUUCAGUGAAGGGAGAAAGAUCUUCCAGUUGCAGUCAGAGCAGGCGCAAAAUGCUGUCAAGAUGGCAAACGUGAUGUACAUUCCCGGUUACAGGUUUCUGCCAACAAACCUCAAUAGAAGGAUGAAGGCAAAUGCCCGUGCGGUUGAAGUACUACUGAAAGGCAUAAUCACAAAGAGGGAGAGGGCGAUGAAGCAUGGCCAUGUCAACAACGACGAUCUACUAGGCGUGAUGAUGGAGUCCAACAUAAAAGAAAGCCAAGAACCCAGAAGCUCCAAGCCGACGAUGACCACCGAUGACAUAGUAGGGGAGUUGAAGCUCUUCUAUUUCGCGGGCAUGGAGACAACCGCGGUGCUGCUCACAUGGGCAAUGGUCGCGCUAAGCAUGCAUCCCGAGUGGCAGGACCGCGCGAGGGAGGAGGUUCUCCGCGUCUCUGGAAAGAACCAGCCGGAUUCCGAGGGCAUAAACCGGCUAAAAGUCGUGACGAUGAUACUAUAUGAGGUUCUUAGGCUAUACCCACCGAUUCUGCUACUUGGUCAGGAGGCGUAUAAAGAAACAGAGCUCGGAGGGGUCACAUAUCCAGCCGGCGUUACAUUUGCGCUGCCAAUUGUGUGCAUUCACCAUGAUCCAGAUGUGUGGGGAGAAGAUGUGGAUGAAUUUAAGCCGGAGAGGUUUGCGGAGGGCAUUGCCGGCGCAUCCAAGAACUCGCCGGCGUUCUUUCCGUUUGGCUGGGGACCGCGGAUUUGCGUUGGGCAAAACUUUGCAUUGCUAGAGGCCAAGAUGGGAUUGAGCGUGAUUCUGCAACACUUCUUGUUCGAGCUCUCACCAUCUUACACGCAUUCGCCUUGCCCGGUCUCCACUCUACAACCACAGCAUGGUUCGCAGAUUAAGCUCACGAAACUCUAA
rnacentral:rRNA from 1 species